rnacentral:misc_RNA from 1 species
AUUUUAUUUAUUUAUUUUGAUACAUACAGAGAUCAGCUUCCUCCAUUGAAUUACAGAAAAUGAAGAAAGCUUAGAAUCAGGAACAGCAUCUGCUUGAAUGCGCUUACAGGUUAAACAUGACCUUAAUAGCAUUGCUGCCACCAGCACUAGUUUCAAAGGCUUUUUCUACCUCCUCUUGCGAGAAGCUAAACCUGUGAGUUAUCAAGGGCUUAACAUCAAUCUUACCAGUCCUCAAUAAUUCAAUGCAGAGUGGCCAUGUGUUCCUAUAUCGAAAUAUGCCAAUAAUAUCAACCUCCCUGCAAUCACAACACCCAUUAUUAUCGCCGUGUGAAUUCAAGCUCUAAGGGAGGAGAAAAGAAAUGUUUAUUGAGCAUCAAAAGCUUAACAUCUUUUCAGGCAAAUAGUCAAUAUCUCUGUUGAAAAGAUAGGUAUCAAUACCAUUUGCGACAACAUAAUUUUUGUAACCAUUCUAUAUCAAGCUAUUCUUUUAUCAGAACUUGGUUUUAUAGAGUAAUUAGGGUAAUCAGCUCAAGUUGUUGGCACAAAGGUUAAACUACUAAUAAUAGUUGAAUUUCAACUCCAAAUUUUGUUUCCUAUUCAAAGAGAUAGAGAAGGUGAGAGUUCUUUCCAGAUCAUUUUGGGAUCAGCUUUUCUAGGGUAUGACAGGAAGCCUAAGAGACAGAAACAGAAAUAAAUGAGAUGAUUCUGCUGGCAUUUCAAAUCAAAAUUAGAUGCUUGCUUGGUCAGUUUGAUGCAAUCCAAACAGAGAGAAGAAAAUUUUUCAGGCAUAAAAAUGUAAAUUACCUUGCAGCAGCUGGAGUGAGAGGGACAGUCAUCUCACUCAAGGCUAACCCAAUAAGGCAAACUUUGCCACCUGAACGUGUGGCAUUCAGAGCUGUAGACAUGGUUUUGGCAUACCCAACACAGUCAAAGCUCACAUCAAUGCCUGAGCUCAUAGCACUUUGUAUCUUUUGUACUUCUUCACUAACAUCCUCAAUGUUUGUUGAGACUUGAAGAAUUUCAUCUGCACCAAGUUUCUUUGCAAUGGAUAAACGAUGACCAUCAACAUCAAUAAGCAUAACUCUAGGAGCACCAAAUGCAUGAGCAGCCAACAAGGUGAUGAGGCCUAUGGGUCCUGCUCCCAUGAUCAAUACGUUUGUAUCAGGACCAAUUUUUGCACGGCGACAAGCAUGGACUCCAACACUGAGGGGUUCACACAUUGCUCCUUCCUCCAAACUCACAUUUUCAGGUAGUUUGAAACAUAGAUUUGCAGGAUGCACUACCUUAUUGGCAAGAGCACCAUUAGUUGGCGGAGAUCCAAAGAACUUCAUUUCAGGACAUAGAUUAUAGCGACCAUCUUUGCAGAGAUUGCAUCGCCGGCAACUGAUUCCAGGCUCCAAUGCCACACGGUCUCCCACUGCUAGAGUUUUCACUUCACUCCCAACUUCCUCUAUGACCCCAGCACAUUCAUGUCCUAUGACCAUUGGCUUUUUGACAAUAAAAUUUGCGCAUCUCAUUGUCUUGAAGUGAUGAACAUCACUUCCGCAGAUACCAAGAGCCUUUAUCCGAACUUUAACAUCAUGAGGACCUAUGAUCACAGGUGGAAAAAAAGAAAAGUGAUAAUCAAAGGAGGUAAUUUUAUCAAUGUUUAGCACACAGUUCAAGAUUUCUCCCUUACCUUUAAGAAAAUUAAAUUAAACAAAAUCCAUACUUGGUACAAUUUUUAUUUGGCCAAUCAGACUCAGACCCACCAUUUUGAUCACAUAGCCAAAGACAUGAUCGGGUAAGGGUUUUUUGAAAGUUCAUUCCUAGAGAUAAUACCCAGUUUAUUUAGCAGCACCAAUGCAAAUUGAAAUUUAUCUAAACGAUCUGUGAUCACCUGAGCAACGCAUAGAGAAGAUAAAUUCCUAGAAUAGCUCGUUGCCACACAUACUAAAAGGGACUUCUAUAAAGAAAGAAGCGUGGCUACUAAAGAUUGGGCCUUUUAAUUCAAAGAUGGGAUGGAAGUAGUCUACGUGUGGGUGUUGAUCCUCAUCAAAAGCUUGAAAAGAAAGGAAGGCCUUACCAAGAGAAGGAAGGUAGUAAGGCCGAAUUUUAAGGUUCUUGAUUCCAAGCAGCCAAGCAGCCAUGUUCUCUUCUUCUUCUUCUUCUAUGCCCGCCAUAAUAUGACCGCCACUUGACAUUUUUUCUCUCUUCAAGGUGAGAUUUUAUAUCACUGAAAUUGAACGGAGCUGAUCCUCGUCGAAAACUCCUUCGCCGACCUCAGUCUUCAGCUGCCAGUCUCAGUUCUCAUAUUAAAAUUUUCAUUUUAUAUGUAAAUAUUCUUAUAAUAAAUUUUAUUCAAAUAAUAAAAAUUCAAAAAAUUUCAUUUUAUUUAAUU